AAGAGUUCAAAAGUAGUGAAGA
rnacentral:miRNA from 1 species